rnacentral:misc_RNA from 1 species
CCCACUAAUGCCAGCUCAUCCACUAACUUUGUUACAUGUGUCAGAAAUAUUAUAGAGCUGUAUCAACAGCCGCAGUUGCUAUCCUACCCGCCCUUCUAUAAAGCACUCUCUCCAUUUCCCCGUGUCACGAUGAAUCUGGUGGUACGAUUCAGAUUCUCAGUGGCUUAUCUGAGUGAGGCCUGCAGCUGAUUCGGGCGGUAUCCUCAGUGGUCGAUCCGAACUUUUGUAACCAUUUGUGUGGAUCGUGGCGAAUCGAAGAUAGGACGAGAUAUGCCUUCAUC